rnacentral:rRNA from 1 species
GAUGAACGCUGGCGGCGUGCCUAAUACAUGCAAGUCGAGCGAACAGAUGAGGAGCUUGCUCCUCUGACGUUAGCGGCGGACGGGUGAGUAACACGUGGAUAACCUACCUAUAAGACUGGGAUAACUUCGGGAAACCGGAGCUAAUACCGGAUAAUAUAUUGAACCGCAUGGUUCAAUAGUGAAAGACGGUUUUGCUGUCACUUAUAGAUGGAUCCGCGCCGCAUUAGCUAGUUGGUAAGGUAACGGCUUACCAAGGCAACGAUGCGUAGCCGACCUGAGAGGGUGAUCGGCCACACUGGAACUGAGACACGGUCCAGACUCCUACGGGAGGCAGCAGUAGGGAAUCUUCCGCAAUGGGCGAAAGCCUGACGGCAACGCCGCGUGAGUGAUGAAGGUCUUCGGAUCGUAAAACUCUGUUAUUAGGGAAGAACAAAUGUGUAAGUAACUAUGCACGUCUUGACGGUACCUAAUCAGAAAGCCACGGCUAACUACGUG